rnacentral:misc_RNA from 1 species
AAGGAUUUCGUAGGUGAACCUGCGGAAGGAUCAUUGGCACCCGUGAAUUUUUUAUCGUGCUCUUGCAUCCUCCCAAUCAGGAAUCUCUGGUAAAUCACGUCGAACGGUUCAGAGACCUCUGUGUGGAUGACUGCUGCUAAAGGUGCAAUCGAUCGCUAGGAUCAGUGGUUUGUGUUUCCCCUAUUAAGUGUUAGGCUCACACGAGCCGGCGUCCAAAUCAACGGGCGCAAACCCCCCUAAAACCACAUGUCAACGUAGGCCCUUCUGUCGUGGUUGGGCGUAAGAACAACUGUUAACAAUGGAUAUCUUGGUUCUC